UGGGGUGUCGCCAAGUGGUAAGGCACUGGUUUCUGGUACCAGCAUUCGGGGGUUCGAAUCCCUCCACCCCAGCCA
rnacentral:tRNA from 13 species